rnacentral:lncRNA from 10 species
GCAGAUUGAUGAGUAUGAUCACUCCAAGCCCAUCCAGGGGCAACAGAAGAAGCCCUUUGAGGUGCACUGGAGGAAGCACACCCUGUCCUAUGUGGACGUCGGCACUGGGAAGUGCACAGCCAGAGGACAACACAUCACACACAAGAAACAGUUGUGCUCAUGUGAUGGGGGCCUCAGCACUAGGAAGGAGUGGACUGUUGGCGCACGCAGCAGCUUGAAUAAAUCUGAAAGUCACUACGCUGCGUAAGAGAAGCCAAAUAAAGCGCAUGCUGUGUACAGAGGGUGUCGAGAAUGCCUCCUACGUGACGGAAAGCAGAUCCGUGGUUCCCUGCAGACUGGCAGGAGCAGAUUCCAAAGGCACAGGAAGAAGCUUGCAGAUGGGGUCUCGCUCUGUCGCCAGGCUGGAGUGCAGUGGCGUGAUCUCAGCUCACUGCGACCUCUGCCUCCUGGGUUCAAGAGAUUCUCGUGCCUCAGCCUCCUGAGUAGCUGGGACUACAGGCAGCUGCUCCCAACCCCAGAACCUUUGCUGUCUUGGGACGGAUCACCGCUGCAAGAGGGGAAGUUGCUACUGUGAUGAAUUCUGCCAUGUGGCACCAGACUGCCACCCAGACCACAGUGUCCUCUGCAACCCUGGUAACUCACAUACAGGCCCGAUUCCACCUACAGCAAAGCUGGAUGCGAUGGCUGGCAGAGGCAAACCCUUUGCCUGCACUUCAGGCCAAAGCCGGGAUGUGGCCUAGAUGGUUCCUAAGGUCCCUGACAAUCCUGAGAUCUUGCAUCUUGUCUAUUUCAGGUCAAAGGUGCCUACAUGCUCCUUCUAGCUUUGUUUCCCUGAUGUUCCUUGCCACCUGCUACUCCUCUCUGAGCUA